UAUUUUUCCUUUUCAAUAUACUUCUUAUAUAUUCUUCUAUUAUUUUAAAAUAUCUUUACAAUUAUCAUCCAUUAAGUUAAUUUGAAUUAAAUAUCUAUUAGAGUUAAAAAAAUCAAAAUACCUCUUUUAUCUUUAACUUAAUAAGGAUAAGCAAAAAAUAUUGGUGAUGAUAAAAAGGUAUNGACCAAAAAUUAAAAUACUUUUUGGGUCUCUAACUUAAGGGCAAAUAAGAAAAAUCAGUGAUGGUAGAAAAGUAUAUUUAAAAGGGUAAAAUAAUAAGUUCAUACAGAUACUAAUAAUUUAUUAACAGAAUUUAACUCUAUGCUAUAUUUGAAAUAGGUUGGAACGUAAAAAGAUCAUUUUCAAUAUUAGCCUUUUAAGAGGUGUAAAUCAGAAAGUCGGAAACUUUUUAAGAAUAUAUAAGCAAUUGCCCUAUAUAUUAUAGGAUAAUUUCAUACUGCUCCCUGUAAACAUAUAUCCCUGCAGAGUUUAACUUUUCAUAUUUACUCCUGCAAAACUCUAGUAAUAUUCAUAUUUGCCGCUCUAGUUUGUUGCCGUCAAAACACUGUUUAUUUUUUUAAUAAAAGAUAAGUAAAAUAAUAUUUUUACCAUCACAAAUAUAUUCCUCCAAAGCCCUAAUUGUUAAAAUUAUACAAAUAUAUCCUUCCAAAAAUUUUUAACGGUCCUCUUUUUUUUUCCUACCAUCACAAAUAAUAUAAGAAAAAACAAAUAAUUUAUCUCAUUCACUAACCAGAGUUAAAAAUUUUAUUUAUGGUUAAUUAUAUUUUUGUAACGGAUCCUAAGAGUGGAGGUAUGUUUAAAAACGUUAGGAUUUUGGUAGAAAUAUAUAUAAAAAGCUAAACUUUAUAGAAAUAUAUUUGUUAUUCGAUAUGUUUAUAGGAAACUAGAUGUAAUUAACCCUAUUAUAAGGUUAAUUUCAUACAUAGAGCUAAAUAUUAACUCUAUUAUUCAUUCGUGUCUACAGAGCUAAAUUUCAUACAGAGAGCUGUAUAUAAUUAACUCCAUUAUUUAUUUAAAAGAGCUAAAUAUUACCUACAUGUCUCUAGAUUUUCAUAUUAUGCAUCCUGUUGUUACAAUUGUUUUCAUUCAUAUUUUAAUUUUACAGCUCAUUAAAUUAUAAUUUUUAGUUUAAAAUUGAACUGUGGAAUAAAAAAUAUGAGGUGACUAAAAAAAAGAAUAAAUUUGUAGUGUAUGGAUAUAUAACAAACUAGAUACAAGAUGUAUGUUUUACUUUUAACUCUGUUUUCUCUUAUGUAAUUGAUUUUCAGGCUGAAAAUAAUCUUUAUUUUAAUUCAAAUUUAAAAAAUUUAUUUUUUUAUUGUUGUAUAAUUACAUAACAUUUUAAAUUUGUUUUACUGAAAAUUCCGCAGUAACACAUAAGAGUAUAAAAAUAUUACAGUACUUUAAUUUUUUUUUUUUUAUCUUUUUUUUUCUUGCAGAGUCAAUUACGACUUUUUAAAAGUGGAGUUAUGAGAAAAUUUAGUUCACGGUAAACCAAAUAACAAAAGUGAGAAUUUACGAUUGAAAAGAACUCCACUCUCCUCCAUUUUUGGUGUAACCCAAUAUGCCCUAAGGUAUCGUUUGGUUCGAAAAUAAGCAAAAAAUAGCUAUUCCAGAGAUAGGUAUAAAUUAAUCUAUAAGCCGAGAUUAGAUUAAUUUUCCGUUUGGAUGAAAAUUGUGUUAUUCCUUGGAAUAAAAAAAUAGCGUUUGGUUAAGUACGAUGGAAUAAGAAAGAUAGUGAAUUUUUAUAAAUAAAAAAUAAUGAUAUUACUUUCUUAUUAUAUUUNAGCAAAGGUCUCAAUGCGAAGCGGGAAAGCGACGUCUCUUCCUCCCUACCAACGCGGCAAUUUUCUUGUAUACGCUCUAAAAAGUAGUAAAUUGCACACUCAUCCAUGAGCUUUUAAAUUAGGCGUUACUGGUUCUUAUUUAUUUAUUUUUCCUUUUCAAUAUACUUCUUAUAUAUUCUUCUAUUAUUUUAAAAUAUCUUUACAAUUAUCAUCCAUUAAGUUAAUUUGAAUUAAAUAUCUAUUAGAGUUAAAAAAAUCAAAAUACCUCUUUUAUCUUUAACUUAAUAAGGAUAAGCAAAAAAUAUUGGUGAUGAUAAAAAGGUAUAUUUGAAAAGACCAAAAAUUAAAAUACUUUUUAGGUCCCUAACUUAAGGACAAAUAAAAAAAAUUAGUGACGGUAGAAGCGUAUAAUUGAAAGGGUAAAAUAAUAAGUUCAUAUAGAUGCUAACAAUUUAUUAACAGAAUUUAACUUUAUGAUAUAUUUGAAAUAGGUUGGAACAUAAAAAGAUAAUUUUCAAUAUUAGCCUUCUAAGAGAAGUAAAUCAGAAAAUCGAAAACUUUUUAGGAAUAUAUAAACAAUUGCCCCUAUAUAUUAUAGGAUAAUUUCAUACUGCUCCCUGUAAACAUAUUGAAUAACAUAUUUAUCCCUACAGAGUUUAACUUUCCAUAUUUAUUCCCGUAAAACUCCAGUGAUAUUCAUAUUUGUCACUCUAGUUUUGUUGCUGUUAGGGCACUGUUUAUUUUUUAAUAGAAGAUAAGUAAAAUGAUAUUUUUAACAUCACAAAUAUAUCCCUCUAAAAGCCCUAACUGUUAGAAUUAUACAAAUAUAUCCUUCCAAAAAUUUUCAACGGUCGUCUUCCUUUUUUCUACCAUCACAAAUAAUAUAAGUGAAAACAAUCAAUUUAUACUAACCAGAGUUAAAAAUUUUACUUAUGGUUAACUAUAUUUUUAUAACGGAUCCUAACAGUAGGAGUAUAUUUAAAAACGUUAGGUCUUUAGCAGGAAUACAUAUGAAAAGCUGAACUUUAUAAAAAUAUAUUUAUCAUUCGAUAUGUUUAUAGAGAGUUGUAUGUAAUUAACCUUAUUAUAGGGUUAAUUUCAUU
rnacentral:lncRNA from 1 species